UACGGGGGGGGCAAGCGUUGUUCGGAAUUACUGGGCGUAAAGGGCUCGUAGGCGGCCAACUAAGUCCGACGUGAAAUCCCCAGGCUUAACCUGGGAACUGCGUCGGAUACUGGAUGGCUUGAAUUCGGGAGAGGGAUGCAGAAUUCCAGGUGUAGCGGUGAAAUGCGUAGAUAUCAUUUGGAACGCCAAUGGUGAAAACAGGUAGCUGGGGCUGUGCUGACGCUGAGACACGAAAGCCAGGGGAGCAAACGGG
rnacentral:rRNA from 1 species